CCGGGGUGAGUAUUACAUCAGGUACUGGUGUGUAAUUGAAACGACCAUCGGACAUGGGGGCUGCCCAACUCCUCUUCUGUCCCCGGUCAAGCUAUCAGUACUUGUGUUAUACUCUCCUCGU
rfam:Anopheles melas strain CM1001059_A cont2.10292, whole genome shotgun sequence.